AAUAUCAAAGGUGAGCCAGUACAGGAUGGACCCGCGUCUGAUUAGCUAGUUGGUAAGGUAACGGCUUACCAAGGCGACGAUCAGUAGCCGACCUGAGAGGGUGAUCGGCCACAUUGGAACUGAGACACGGUCCAAACUCCUACGGGAGGCAGCAGUGGGGCAUAUUGCACAAUGGGCGAAAGCCUGAUGCAGCAACGCCGCGUGAGUGAUGAAGGCCUUCGGGUCGUAAAACUCUGUCCUCAAGGAAGAUAAUGACGGUACUUGAGGAGGAAGCCCCGGCUAACUACGUGCCAGCAGCCGCGGUAAUACGUAGGGGGCUAGCGUUAUCCGGAUUUACUGGGCGUAAAGGGUGCGUAGGCGGUCUUUCAAGUCAGGAGUGAAAGGCUACGGCUCAACCGUAGUAAGCUCUUGAAACUGGGAGACUUGAGUGCAGGAGAGGAGAGUGGAAUUCCUAGUGUAGCGGUGAAAUGCGUAGAUAUUAGGAGGAACUCCAUUUGCGAAGGCGGUGCUCUGGACUAUAACUAACGCUGAGGCACGAAAGCGUGGGGAGCAAUCAGGAUUAGAUACCCUG
rnacentral:rRNA from 1 species